rnacentral:lncRNA from 10 species
AGACUGGAUAUUGUGGAUGGGAGCAGCCUGGUAACCAAUGAAAGAAGGAAUGCUGCAUAUGCUGUGGUAACCUUUUCAGAGGUAAUAGAAGUAAGGACUUCACCAAUAGGAACCUCUGCACAGAAAGCAGAACUGAUUAUCUUUACUACAGCCCUGCAGCUAGCUGUCCCAAGUAAACAACGCUCUUGGAGUAAAUUGGAAACUCACACAGCAUGGAAACCACAACCUUCUGGACAGACUGAAAGGAUGAAUCAAACACGAAAACAGUGCCAAACUGUGCCAACUAAAAUGGAUUCAGGAGUAUCGUAAACUCAGCGAAACUGUGUCACUUGUACCAGCCUGGUGAUCAAGUGCUGCUGAAAGAAUAAAGAGAAAUGAGCCCAAGUCAGCAGCUACAGGAGAAAUAGAAAGGGCCCCAUGACAUGCUGCUGACUACCAAUUUGGCAAUGAAACUGGCUGGCAUCAAGCCAUGGAUCCACCACAUGCCCGUGAAGAAGUUCCUGCCGGAGGAAACAUUCAUGACACAGGACACCAAGGCUGCCAAAUGGGAGACAGAACCCCUUGAAGGCCUAGGAUUUCUGUUCAAAAGAUGAUAAAGUAUUGUUUUACAUUGUUACAUUGCUGCUUUACAUUGCUGCUGUUUUACAUUGUUAUUUCUGCGUACCUCUAACCUUUUCCUACAAUGGGCAAAGGUUAUGCAAAUAGCUUACAGCAAGACUCUUGCUGGGUCUGUGCUCUAUUACCCCUCUCUGGCACCAUGGGGCUGCCUUGGUGCAUCCCCCACAUACAAGGAAAAAUUAGGUUUAUAAUAUCUUGAUUUUGUAGAACACCUUCCUGGUGGCAGAAAAUUCUUCUUGUCCUAGCUGCCUUCCUGGGCAUGAGCAUAAUACUAUGUUGUGAACUAUAUUAUUGUUAUAUGCUGUUCCAAAACAUUCCUCAGGCUCACAAGAUCAUGUCUUAUCAGGCGCUGCCUUUGAGUCUCUAAAGCCAGAAACAUUACCAGCACCAGAUAGACAUCUUCCACUCUAGCACCCCUUGAUGACAACCCUCUUCAGCAGGAAGUAGAUGGAGGGAAUGCAUACCCACUUUCCCUUAGUCGGCUAUGUCAUAGUUUACACUUUUGCACUAGCCUUUUAACAAACCAGUACUUGAAAAAAUUAACUAACAUGCUAGAAAUCACGUACAAAUUGACAGUGGGGAUUGUGGCAGGCCAGGUUUCCAUUAGCAACCAGAACAGUCAGUUUUCACUAAUCCUUUACUAUAACUCUGAUGAAUAUAUAAGUUAAACAUUAAAGAACUGGAGAAACUGGUCACUAAGUACAAUGGCUGGAAUGCAAAAACAAACCCAUUAAGACCCCAGACCCUAAUGAUUAGAUACAGAUUGAAAGAAACACUCCUGCUUGUAGGUGCACUCCCACACAUAGGCAGAGAGCUUAAAAUGUGUAUAUGCACUAGAAAAAAUAUUGUAACUGCGUUGGUCUGAUGAGUUACUCUGACCUUCUCCUUGUAACUGGUUGCAAAAAUAAACUUUCUUUUUC